CCAACGCUCCCAGGCAAUGGACCGCCUGAGUUUACUCUUCGACGAGAGGGGGGGGUAACCCGCUGAACCCCACUCGUGAUAGGGAUUGGGGAUUGUUAUUUUUUCCCAUGAAAGAAGAAUUCCCAAGAAGCGGGGGUCAUAAUGUCGUGUUUAUUUCCUCCCCCCCCUUUGUACACACCACAAAA
rnacentral:rRNA from 1 species